ensembl:lncRNA
UUUGAUUUUGUCCUUGCGUUGGUUACCCCACAUCACUGGUUGCUGCUUUUGUUUUGUCUUCCCUUCCCUUUUUUGAUUAAACAUGGAUCACACCCUCUAUUUCGACUCUGUGCCUGGGACCUACAACGACUGUGACAGAAUUAACCACCUACAAGAGACACGGCAGAGAUGGACGGUAGGGGAACACCUUUGUUGGCCCGACAGCAAUACAGAGGAGGAGGAGAACCCCUACCGUCCCCCGCUGUACACUAGGCCAGCCCAGCGCCAACCCCGGAGGAGACGUCAAGAGAGGCGACGCAAUCAACCCUCCGUGAGUCAGCCCCAAGCAGUUUUUCGGGGGGUGCUGUGGGGGCGGUCGGAGGACCCUGAGGUGCGGCUGCCAUCCCUGGAGGGGUGGGAGGACAAGCCCUUGCCGCCUACGCUCACAUGUGGUGGCCGCCGCCGCCAGCUCCUCCCGCUGUCCAGUGGCCGCCGCCGCCAGUUCCCCCUGCUGCCCUGUUUUUGCCUCCGCCAGAACCCGCCGAAGACUGGUCGCUGUCCGGGCCCACCAGGGACUGGGCAGGCGGAGAGGCCGGGAGAGGCCGGGCAGGCGGAGAGGCCGGGAGAG